UGUCUGGUUCUACCCCAACCGGCGACCGUUGCUGUACGUCCAGAAAUUUUGAGGUUCUUCGCUGGUAAGCAGACAGAGACUGUAGAUUUCCUUCAGAAAUUUAUACAACUCGACUCUGUCGAAUUUCCCGACAAAUACCUGCCAUGGGUGACUACCGAAACUGGAACUGUGCCCACCCACGAUUCUAUUGCUCCUCGUGUAAAGUUCACCGCAGCCUGCAAAGCAACGCAAAACGAAAUCGGUGUCGCAUGUAAGGGGAAGAACGCAGCUUUAGUUUAAAAGGUAUGUCGUCGUCGUCGACGCAGCAGCUCCAUAUUAAUCCUCCGGAGCAGAGAUCGACUGGACGACCACCUCCGAGGACGCAACUAAUACUCAGGCCACAAUCGAACGUCGUUCCUUUAGCCUCGACGAGCAGGGUGCCUUGCUGUUGACUCGUCAGUUUACGUCUUCUUCCUUGCCUGUGACUCGACG